GACGAACGCUGGCGGCGUGCCUAAUACAUGCAAGUCGAGCGAAUCUUUAGGAGCUUGCUCCUGAAGGUUAGCGGCGGACGGGUGAGUAACACGUGGGCAACCUGCCUGUAUGACUGGGAUAACACCGGGAAACCGAUGCUAAUACCGGAUAAUUCUUUUCCUCACAUGAGGGAAGGCUGAAAGUCGGUUUCGGCUGACACUACAGAUGGGCCCGCGGCGCAUUAGCUAGUUGGUGAGGUAACGGGUCACCAAGGCGACGAUGCGUAGCCGACCUGAGAGGGUGAUCGGCCACACUGGGACUGAGACACGGCCCAGACUCCUACGGGAGGCAGCAGUAGGGAAUCUUCCGCAAUGGACGAAAGUCUGACGGAGCAACGCCGCGUGAGUGAUGAAGGCCUUCGGGUCGUAAAACUCUGUUGUUAGGGAAGAACAAGUACCGGAGUAACUGCCGGUACCUUGACGGUACCUAACCAGAAAGCCACGGCUAACUACGUGCCAGCCGCCGCCGUAAAAC
rnacentral:rRNA from 1 species